AAUGAAAGAGGGUGUGGAGCUACUUCACAAGUGCUCCAAGGUUCUUCAGUGGACUAGCUACAAAAGGUAUUAAUAUGCAAACAAACUUCUUGGAUUGGAUGAAUCACUUCAAGGAUUGUUAAAUAUAUUGAGAGUGCAAUUAGCAAGGGAUGUGAUAGAGAGCUUGGUUUCCGUAAGUAAUAUAGAGAAGGUGAUCGAUCAAAUUGAAGGGAGUGGUACGGUACAAUUACAAAAUGAUCCAUGUGAAGUACUUGAACCCCCAUAGCCUGAAGUUGGAUUGAGUGUGCAUGGAACAAGGGAUGUAAAGGAGACAUUGGAUUCGGCAGCAAUAAUAGAGGUUGGGAUGAAGUGAAUCGAAGGUAGCGGAGAUGUACAAGGUCAAAUUGACAUUGGAAUAGGUGAGCCUACAUUGAAGCUCCGGAUGCUGAAAAUAAGGUUACUGAAUAUGUACCUUCAACGGAUAGCCAAUAGAAGCUCUUAUGUUUCAAAAGAUGUUGGGAAGGUGCUUUUCCAACUUUAACACGCUCUCUUUCUUUCAAUUUAGUUUCCUCUUGGCAAUCCUGUCGAGUCUAUGCAGACACAUAAGCAGCAGAAGUUGGAACUGAAGGUGAGUGAUGGUGACAAACAAAUGAAGAAAGUUAUGAAAGCUGUCCAUGCCAUAAAUGGGGUUAGUUCGACCGGUUGGGAUGCAAAGAACCAAAAGCUAACAGUGGUAGGACAGUUGGAUCCAGUGCUAAUAGUGACUAAGUUGAGGAAGAUGGCUUCUAAAACAGAGCUGAUAUCAGUUGGCCUAGCCAAGGAAGAGAUAUAAGAAAUAGAGAAAUCUUACAAUGGAAGACAACAAAGAAGAAAAUAAAGAGAAAAAUUUUACUAUGAAAGAGAGCAGGUGAUAAAGGAUGCUAUAAUCUUGUUUGUACCAUUGGGUACAGCCUGCAGCAUUGCGUGAACUAAUUUCGGAUCAAGGGACUCGGCAUCCAACGUUGCUUCUGCUUCAGAUGCCAAGAAUGUAGA